rnacentral:rRNA from 1 species
GGAUUGCCCUAGUAACGGCGAGUGAAGCGGCAACAGCUCAAAUUUGAAAUCUGGCUCUUUCAGAGUCCGAGUUGUAAUUUGCAGAGGGCGCUUUGGCGUUGGCAGCGGUCCAAGUUCUUUGGAACAGGACGUCACAGAGGGUGAGAAUCCCGUACGUGGUCGCUAGCCUUCGCCGUGUAAAGCCCCUUCGACGAGUCGAGUUGUUUGGGAAUGCAGCUCUAAAUGGGAGGUAAAUUUCUUCUAAAGCUAAAUACUGGCCAGAGACCGAUAGCGCACAAGUAGAGUGAUCGAAAGAUGAAAAGCACUUUGGAAAGAGAGUCAAAUAGCACGUGAAAUUGUUGAAAGGGAAGCGCUUGCAGCCAGACUUGCCUGUAGUUGCUUAUCUGGACUUUUGUCCGGUGCACUCUUCUGCGGGCAGGCCAGCAUCAGUUUGGGCGGUUGGAUAAAGGUCUCUGUCAUGUACCUCCUUUCGGGGAGGCCUUAUAGGGGAGACGACAUGCAACCAGCCUGGACUGAGGUCCGCGCAUCUGCUAGGAUGCUGGCGUAAUGGCUGUAAGCGGCCCGUCUUGAAACACGGACCAAGGAGUCUAACAUCUAUGCGAGUGUUUGGGUGUCAAGCCCAGACGCGUAAUGAAAGUGAACGGAGGUGGGAACCUUUUAGGUGCACCAUCGACCGAUCCUGAUGUCUUCGGAAGGAUUUGAGUAAGAGCAUGGCUGUUGGGACCCGAAAGAUGGUGAACUAUGCUUGAAUAGGGUGAAGCCAGAGGAAACUCUGGUGGAGGCUCGCAGCGGUUCUGACGUGCAAAUCGAUCGUCAAAUUUGGGCAUAGGGGCGAAAGACUAAUCGAACUAUCUAGUAGCUGGUUCCUGCCGAAGUUUCCCUCAGGAUAGCAGUAACGUAUUCAGUUUUAUGAGGUAAAGCGAAUGAUUAGAGGCCUGGGGGUUGAAACAACCUUCACCUAUUCUCAAACUUUAAAUAUGUAA